rnacentral:rRNA from 1 species
CUUCCACAAUGGACGAAAGUCUGAUGCAGCGACGCCGCGUGAGUGAAGAAGGUCUUCGGAUCGUAAAACUCUGUCCUUGGUGCAGAUAAUGACGGUUGCCAAGGAGGAAGCACCGGCUCCCUACGUGCCAGCAGCCGGGGUAAUACGUGGGGGGCUAGCGUUGUCCGGAUUGACUGGGCGUAAAGUGUAAGUAGGCGGUUGCAUAAGUCACAUGUAAAAGGCUAAGGCUGAACCAUAGUAGGCAGUUGAAACUGGGUGACUUGAGUACAGGAGAGGUAAGCGGAAUUCCUAGUGUAGCGGUAAAAUGCGUAGAUAUUAGGAGGAACACCAGUGGCGAAGGCGGCUUACUGGACUGUAACUGACGCUGAGUCACGAAAGCGUGGGUAGCAAACA